rnacentral:rRNA from 1 species
UUCGGCCAAAUGACUUUUGAACUUAGUGGCGGACGGGUGAGUAACGCGUGAGCAACCUGCCUUUCAGAGGGGGAUAACAUUUGGAAACAGAUGCUAAUACCGCAUAAGAUUACAGUACCGCAUGGCACAGGGGUCAAAGGAUUUAUCCGCUGAAAGAUGGGCUCGCGUCCGAUUAGCUAGAUGGUGAGGUAACGGCCCACCAUGGCGACGAUCAGUAGCCGGACUGAGAGGUUGACCGGCCACAUUGGGACUGAGAUACGGCCCAGACUCC